UACGAAGGGGCGAGCGUUGUUCGGAGUUACUGGCGUAAAGGGCGCGUAGGCGGCGAUCCAAGUUAGGCGUGAAAGCCCCGGGCUCAACCUGGGAAUGGCGCUUAAGACUGGGUUGCUCGAGUGCGGGAGAGGUGAGUGGAAUUCCCAGUGUAGAGGUGAAAUUCGUAGAUAUUGGGAAGAACACCAGUGGCGAAGGCGGUUCUCUGGGACGGUACUGACGGCUGAGACGCGAAAGCGUGGG
rnacentral:rRNA from 1 species